GAUGAACGCUGGCGGCGUGCCUAAUACAUGCAAGUCGAGCGGUAACACUUCGGGUGACGAGCGGCGGACGGCUGAGUAACGCGUAGGAACAUACCCCAAACUGAGGGAUAACUGCCCGAAAGGGUAGCUAAUACCGCAUGUGAUCUUCGGAUUAAAGCUUCGGCGGUUUGGGAAUGGCCUGCGUUCGAUUAGGUUGUUGGUGAGGUAAUGGCUCACCAAGCCGACGAUCGAUAGCUGGUCUGAGAGGAUGAUCAGCCAGACUGGGACUGAGACACGGCCCAGACUCCUACGGGAGGCAG
rnacentral:rRNA from 1 species